rnacentral:rRNA from 1 species
CUAGCGGCGGACGGGUGAGUAACGCGUGGGAACGUGCCCUUUGCUACGGAAUAGUCCCGGGAAACUGGGUUUAAUACCGUAUGUGCCCUCUAUUUUGGUGAUGGUUGGGGAAAGAUUUAUCGGCAAAGGAUCGGCCCGCGUUGGAUUAGGUAGUUGGUGGGGUAAUGGCCUACCAAGCCGACGAUCCAUAGCUGGUUUGAGAGGAUGAUCAGCCACACUGGGACUGAGACACGGCCCAGACUCCUACGGGAGGCAGCAGUGGGGAAUCUUAGACAAUGGGGGCAACCCUGAUCUAGCCAUGCCGCGUGAGUGAAGAAGGCCUUCGGGUUGUAAAGCUCUUUUGUCAGGGAAGAAACGGUUGUUCCUAAUACGGACGGCUAAUGACGGUACCUGAAGAAUAAGCACCGGCUAACUACGUGCCAGCAGCCGCGGUAAUACGUAGGGUGCAAGCGUUAAUCGGAAUUACUGGGCGUAAAGCGUGCGCAGGCGG